CGGGGUGAGUAAUGUCUGGGAAACUGCCUGAUGGAGGGGGAUAACUACUGGAAACGGUAGCUAAUACCGCAUAACGUCGCAAGACCAAAGAGGGGGACCUUCGGGCCUCUUGCCAUCGGAUGUGCCCAGAUGGGAUUAGCUAGUAGGUGGGGUAACAGCUCACCUAGGCGACGAUCCCUAGCUGGUCUGAGAGGAUGACCAGCCACACUGGAACUGAGACACGGUCCAG
rnacentral:rRNA from 1 species